GUCUCACAUCGGUGGUUAAUGAGAUGGGUGGACUCCUUAUAAGGCUUGGGCAAUCCUCCUCCCUUUGAGCUAGCUUUUGGGGUGUGAGUUAGGCCUAAGACCUAAUUUAACAUGGUAUCAGAGCAGGGCCCGUCUCACCCGAUGUUGGGACCCCCAAAAUCAAAAUUGCCCACGCACCAGAUGCUAAGCACUGGGCGUGAGGUGGGGUGUUAAAGAAUGACAAAAGUCCCACAUCGGUGGUUAAUGAGAUGGGUGGACUCCUUAACAUGGUAUCAGAGCAGGGCCUGUCUCAUCCGAUGUUGGGGCCCCCAAAAUCAAAAUUGCCCACGCACCAGAUGCUAAGCACUGGGCGUGAGGUGGGGUGUUAAAGAAUGACAAAAGUCCCACAUCGGUGGUUAAUGAGAUGGGUGGACUCCUUAUAAGGCUUGGGCAAUCCUCCUCCCUUUGAGCUAGCU
rnacentral:lncRNA from 1 species